UACGUAGGGUGCGAGCGUUGUCCGGAAUUACUGGGCGUAAAGAGCUCGUAGGUGGUUUGUCGCGUUGUUCGUGAAAACCGGGGGCUUAACCCUCGGCGUGCGGGCGAUACGGGCAGACGUUGAGUACUGCAGGGGAGGACUGGAAUUCCUGGUGUAGCGGUGGAAUGCGCAGAUAUCAGGAGGAACACCGGUGGCGAAGGCGGGUCUCUGGGCAGUAACUGACGCUGAGGAGCGAAAGCGUGGGGAGCGAACAGG
rnacentral:rRNA from 1 species